AACGCAUAUUGCGCUCUUUGGUAUUCCGAAGAGCAUGCUUGUUUGAGUAUCAGUAAACACCUCAAAGACAUUUCUGAUUUAUUUUCUGGAAUGGCUUUGGACUUGAGCAAUCCCAACACCAGUCCUUUACGGGAUCGGCGGAGGGUUGCUUGAAAUGCAGGUGCAGCUGGACAUUCUCCUGAGCUAUAAGCAUAUCUAUUUAGUCCCGUCAAACGGAUUAUUACUUUUGCUGCAGCUAACAUAAAGGGAGUCUGACCGUAUUGGCUGACUGAUGCAGGAUUUCACAGGGGUUGGAAACGACUCUUGUAAAACUCGAUCUCAAAUCAAGUAAGACUACCCGCUGAACUUAA
rnacentral:misc_RNA from 1 species